AAUGCAAUGGCCGAAUUUUAAGCACUAGACUGUAAAUCUAGCUAUGAGGGACAACCUCUUGCAUUA
rnacentral:tRNA from 1 species